AUUGAACGCUGGCGGCAUACCUUACACAUGCAAGUCGAACGGUAACAGGUCUUCGGAUGCUGACGAGUGGCGAACGGGUGAGUAAUACAUCGGAACGUGCCCAGACGUGGGGGAUAACGAGGCGAAAGCUUUGCUAAUACCGCAUACGAUCUAAGGAUGAAAGCAGGGGACCGCAAGGCCUUGUGCGUUUGGAGCGGCCGAUGGCAGAUUAGGUAGUUGGUGGGAUAAAAGCUUACCAAGCCGACGAUCUGUAGCUGGUCUGAGAGGACGACCAGCCACACUGGGACUGAGACACGGCCCAGACUCCUACGGGAGGCAGCAGUGGGGAAUUUUGGACAAUGGGCGAAAGCCUGAUCCAGCAAUGCCGCGUGCAGGAUGAAGGCCUUCGGGUUGUAAACUGCUUUUGUACGGAACGAAAAGGCUCUGGCUAAUACCUGGGGCACAUGACGGUACCGUAAGAAUAAGCACCGGCUAACUACGUG
rnacentral:rRNA from 1 species